CGGCACGCCUAACACAUGCAAGUCGAACGAAGUAGCAAUACUUAGUGGCAGACGGGUGAGUAACAUGUAGGUAUCUGCCCUUUGGCCUGGAAUAACACGAGGAAACUUGUGCUAAUACCGGAUAAGUCUUUACGGAGAAAGCUUUAUGCACCAUUGGAUGAGCCUGCACUUGAUUAGUUUGUUGGUAGGGUAAUGGCCUACCAAGACUGUGAUCAAUAGCUGAUUUGAGAGGAUGAUCAGCCACAUUGGGACUGAGACACGGCCCAAACUCCUACGGGAGGCAGCAGUGGGGAAUCUUGCACAAUGGAGGAAACUCUGAUGCAGCGAUGCCGCGUGAGUGAAGAAGGCCUUUGGGUUGUAAAGCUCUUUCGUCGGGGAAGAAAAUGACUGUACCCGAAUAAGAAGGUCCGGCUAAC
rnacentral:rRNA from 1 species